GUUUGAUCCUGGCUCAGGACGAACGCUGGCGGCGUGCCUAAUACAUGCAAGUCGAGCGGACAGAUGGGAGCUUGCUCCCUGAAGUCAGCGGCGGACGGGUGAGUAACACGUGGGCAACCUGCCUGUAAGACUGGGAUAACUCCGGGAAACCGGGGCUAAUACCGGAUAAUUCUUUCCCUCACAUGAGGGAAAGCUGAAAGAUGGUUUCGGCUAUCACUUACAGAUGGGCCCGCGGCGCAUUAGCUAGUUGGUGAGGUAACGGCUCACCAAGGCAACGAUGCGUAGCCGACCUGAGAGGGUGAUCGGCCACACUGGGACUGAGACACGGCCCAGACUCCUACGGGAGGCAGCAGUAGGGAAUCUUCCGCAAUGGACGAAAGUCUGACGGAGCAACGCCGCGUGAGUGAUGAAGGUUUUCGGAUCGUAAAACUCUGUUGUUAGGGAAGAACAAGUACCGGAGUAACUGCCGGUACCUUGACGGUACCUAACCAGAAAGCCACGGCUAACUACGUGCCAGCAGCCGCGGUAAUACGUAGGUGGCAAGCGUUGUCCGGAAUUAUUGGGCGUAAAGCGCGCGCAGGCGGUUCCUUAAGUCUGAUGUGAAAGCCCCCGGCUCAACCGGGGAGGGUCAUUGGAAACUGGGGAACUUGAGUGCAGAAGAGAAGAGUGGAAUUCCACGUGUAGCGGUGAAAUGCGUAGAGAUGUGGAGGAACACCAGUGGCGAAGGCGACUCUUUGGUCUGUAACUGACGCUGAGGCGCGAAAGCGUGGGGAGCAAACAGGAUUAGAUACCCUGGUAGUCCACGCCGUAAACGAUGAGUGCUAAGUGUUAGAGGGUUUCCGCCCUUUAGUGCUGCAGCAAACGCAUUAAGCA
rnacentral:rRNA from 1 species